rnacentral:rRNA from 1 species
AGCGCAGGCGGGAAGACAAGUUGGAAGUGAAAUCUAUGGGCUCAACCCAUAAGCUGCUUUCAAAACUGUUUUUCUUGAGUAGUGCAGAGGUAGGCGGAAUUCCCGGUGUAGCGGUGGAAUGCGUAGAUAUCGGGAGGAACACCAGUGGCGAAGGCGGCCUACUGGGCACCAACUGACGCUGAGGCUCGAAAGUGUGGGUAGCAAACA